AUUGAACGCUAGCGGGAUGCUUUACACAUGCAAGUCGAACGGCAGCGCGGACUUCGGUCUGGCGGCGAGUGGCGAACGGGUGAGUAAUGUAUCGGAACGUGCCCAGUAGCGGGGGAUAACUACGCGAAAGCGUAGCUAAUACCGCAUACGCCCUACGGGGGAAAGCAGGGGAUCGUAAGACCUUGCACUAUUGGAGCGGCCGAUAUCGGAUUAGCUAGUUGGUGAGGUAACGGCUCACCAAGGCGACGAUCCGUAGCUGGUUUGAGAGGACGACCAGCCACACUGGGACUGAGACACGGCCCAGACUCCUACGGGAGGCAGCAGUAGGGAAUUUUGGACAAUGGGGGCAACCCUGAUCCAGCCACCCCGCGUGUGCGAUGAAGGCCUUCGGGUUGUAAAGCACUUUUGGCAGGAAAGAAACGUCGCGGGCUAAUACCCCGUGGAACUGACGGUACCUGCAGAAUAAGCACCGGCUAACUACGUG
rnacentral:rRNA from 1 species